GCUGUGUUCAUGACCCCCUUCCCUCUCUGAAUCUUGUUUAAAACCAGCACUUGCAGAUCUGUGUCCUCUCCCAGCUGCCAAGCAGGGUGUGCCAUGCUGUGCUUCUCUUUGCCCAUGAGCCUGCUCCCUCCUGCCUGCCCUGGUACCAGCCUGUCCAUCAUGGGAAAUUUCAGCUGGUUGUGCACCCCUUGCAAUGGUCCUUAAAGAGCCGUUCCUCAUAGUUUAAUGUGUUUCUGUAAAUGGCAGAGUGAAGUUCUUGGGUGGCAUUUAAUUAGUUUUGCUGUGCCUUCCCUACUCGGCAGAGAUGUGUCAUAAUAGCUGAAGGAUUCAUUAAAAAACAUGUUUUAAUCAGAAAUUCAAAUGCAAACCAAGACAGAACAACAGAGAUCUGAAAACAAAACCAGAAUUUAAAAAAAUGCCCAGAUGAGACUCAGUGCCACAGGUGCUGCUGUUAGAGGCAAACCAGGGAACUGCUCUGGUCAGCCAGGAGCCCCAGCUCUGACCCAGCCCGUGCUGGCUGGCACAGUUAAUCCUCUGGAGAUGCUGGGAAGGGCUUGGCCAGGCUUCUCCACAGGCUCCCAGUGGCUGUGUAAACUGGUGCCACAUUAGGGUGAGCUUGGUGCCUGUUGUCAUUUGCUGAAGCGUGUUUGUCACACCUUGUGCUGAGCCAGAGUUUGAGCUGUGACCACUGUCAAGGUGCCCUGAGCAAACCUGUGUGGUUUCUGCACAGAAAGGGGUUUGUCUUUCCAAGGCUUCCCAGGACUUCCAAAACCCAGGAACAAGAGCUCUGCCUGGCUCCAUCUCUCCUUGUUCUAUUUUGUUUUUAAACUUAGUUCAUUUCUUUAUCACUGCACCUGGGAAUUCAUCAUUCCUGCAUCUCCAGCCCCCUGCACACAGCGUAGGGGGAGAUUUCUACAGCCAAGGAGCCCCAGUACCCAAACUGUGGCUGCUGACAUGUGCAAGGGGGAAGUGAGACAUUUCCCACCUGUUCAGCUAGUUUGCAGCUUGGUGGGAUAUCCUAUUUUUAACUGUAGCUGCAGUUAAAGGAAUACAUUUGUGGAGUCAAACAUAAGGUAGCAACCAAAGGAAGUAGUUUUUAGCUGCAGAUCUGUCUGAUUCAGUACCUGGUGAACAUUUUCUUUAGCAUAAUGAUAUUUCUUAGGGUGCAUGAUAAAAACCUGCAGUAACCAACAGACACUGUUCUCAGUUUUCAGUCUCAUCAUUAGCAUUUUGCUCUCAUUAACCUGAGCAUGAUAAAUUGCUUAUAACACAGAUAUUUCUUUGCUGGGCAUUAGCAGGUCUGGUUGUGAGGAGAGAUGUGGAAUUUGGUUUACAGAGUUUUGCAUCAUAGAUAUUAACUGUGUGUGGCUCUGACACUGCAGGUCAGGCCAGUGUAAAUUAAGGAAAUGUUUCUAGACUUUAAUCUGAAUUGAGACCUAGGGAUUUAAAGAUAUUUAAACUGCUAGCCAGGUGUUUGCUUGGGCUAGGAAACAAUCAGCCUUGCUGUCUGCAGGUGGAGGGUCCUUCCACAGAGGUGGAAGCUGCUCUGGCUGUUGCAGGUAAGACUCUGCCCUCUCUUCUCUCCUUUCGUACAUUUUAGCACUUUUGCUCUGCCUGUGCCUUUUUGUCCACAUGUGCCAGCCCCCAUGGCUGCUGGCAUCCUGCUGGAGAGCUGCAGAGCCAGAGUCCAGCUGGGAUGCUCACUGGGAUGCCAGCCUUGGCUGGGAGCACUGGAGGGGCACACAGAGCACUUCAGCUGCCAGAAAAUUAGACUCAUUUGUUUGGAAAUCUGUCGUACACAAAGCACUUUAAUAACCACAUUCAUCUAAAGGCCACAUCAGGAGAAACAGUACUGCCUGUUCCCUCUUAGAUGCCAGUUUUGGGGAAUGCUGCUGCUAACAUUUAGCAGGAGCUCCAGGUCACCUUGAUACAAUUGAGCUAAGACACAUUUUAAUGGCUGUUUAAUUAGAUUUACCAUAGGGAAGGUGCCGUGGAAGAAGGCUGCAUUUCUGCUUCUAGUGCUGGUUUACACAAAAAUGCAGAUAAAAGACUGCAAGUGAUAGAUAAAGAUGAGGGGUUUUUGUACCCCUGUUCAAUAUAAUUUUUUACCUUCAUUUGAGUGAUGUGUCUGCUCUUUCUCUGCACUUUCAGGGCUGGAAAAUCUCACACCCCCGCAGACUGAUGCUGUUUUCUGCCUGCCACAAAAAUAAGGAGAGGGAUUACCUCAUUUCCACUGCCUCAGAAAUAAAUCCUCAUUAUGGAUUUGUA